rnacentral:rRNA from 1 species
GACGAACGCUGGCGGCGUGCUUAACACAUGCAAGUCGAACGGAAAGGCCCUGCUUUUGUGGGGUGCUCGAGUGGCGAACGGGUGAGUAACACGUGAGUAACCUGCCCUUGACCUUGGGAUAACUUCAGGAAACUGGGGCUAAUACCGGAUAGGAGCUCCUGCUGCAUGGUGGGGGUUGGAAAGUUUCGGCGGUUGGGGAUGGACUCGCGGCUUAUCAGCUUGUUGGUGGGGUAGUGGCUUACCAAGGCUUUGACGGGUAGCCGGCCUGAGAGGGUGACCGGCCACAUUGGGACUGAGAGACGGCGCAGACUCCUACGGGAGGCAGCAGUGGGGAAUAUUGCACAAUGGGCGGAAGCCUGAUGCAGCAACGCCGCGUGCGGGAUGACGGCCUUCGGGUUGUAAACCGCUUUCGCCUGUGACGAAGCGUGAGUGACGGUAAUGGGUAAAGAAGCACCGGCUAACUACGUG